rnacentral:rRNA from 1 species
AUUGAACGCUGGCGGCAUGCCUUACACAUGCAAGUCGAACGGCAGCGGGCCCUUCGGGGUGCCGGCGAGUGGCGAACGGGUGAGUAAUGCAUCGGAACGUACCCGGGAGAGGGGGAUAACCGGCCGAAAGGCUGGCUAAUACCGCAUGAACUCGGAAGAGCAAAGCGGGGGACCUUCGGGCCUCGCGCUCUCGGAGCGGCCGAUGUCCGAUUAGGCUAGUUGGUGGGGUAAAGGCCCACCAAGGCGACGAUCGGUAGCGGGUCUGAGAGGACGAUCCGCCACACUGGGGCUGAGACGCGGCCCAGGCUCCGACGGGAGGCAGAAGUGGGGAAUCUUGGACGAUGGGCGCAAGCCUGAUCCAGCAAUGCCGCGUGGGUGAAGAAGGCCUGCGGGUUGUAAAGCCCUUUCGGCGGGGAAGAAAUCGGUCAGGCGAAUAGUCUGGCCGGAUGACGGUACCCGCAGAAGAAGCACCGGCUAACUACGU